UGUGGAUGUUCACCUAGUUUUAUAAAUUGACACUUUUAACAUUAAAACUCAAAGCAAAAAACGAUGUAAUUAUUCCCUUUUUUUGAAGCUUAGGUUUAAUGUCUUUAUUGAAAAUUGGGUACUUCUGUGGCAUCUCAAGAUGCUUUAUUCUAUCAAAUCUGGAGCAAGUCAUUUUUCAUUUUGGAUUGUAAUGUGGUAUAAAUGAUAAGAGCCUGAUUCAGAAAGCUUUUUUUUUCCUCCCCACUGGCAGCUCGACGGAAAAGCUUCAUAGUCACGUCACAAUAACCCUGAAGAUAAUCUAUUGUAUGAGUCUUUGUGAAACUGCUUGCUUUUAUAAUGGGGAAAAGUGAGAUUUUGAGCUCGUGGUUAGGGUGCCUGAACCUCACUUGCUGUCACAGGAUUUUUGGUUCUUUUCAUAUUUUAUAUCUUUUACCAGACUUAGGAUGCCAAGGCACAAGUAGGUACCCGCUAUGACCUUCUGUGUUGUGAUCGUGGCGGUCUAAUUGAAGCUCAGAACGUAGCAGUAAGUUGAAUAGAGAACAUCUGGUGGUCAGAGCAAAGGAGGAAUGAGAGAUGCAUAGAUGAGCUUUGUUAUAUUUUUGGGGUUUGUUUCCCAGUCUCAGAUCGUUUGGGUGUACCACGUAUGCUUCAUGUUCACAUCAAAUCUCACUGAAUUUGACCUCAGUACCCUAGAGUAGCAUGGACAGAUGAGAGGAGGGUCAUGAUGAAGUUGUGGUAGAGCUGGACUGUUAACAAGUAUUAUUUACCCUGUGGCAAGACGCACAGUCUCCGUUUAGAACCAGAGGAUGGUGGUGCUGGCUGAUUCCUAGUGCAUAGGAAGUCCUGGUGCCUGCCCUAAAGACCUUACCACCCGUAAAGAGAAAUGGCAAAUGCAGGAUUUGUGUGAGGGUGACUGCAGAAAAGGGUCAGUCCUUCAGUGAACUUCAAACUUUUUUGGAUGUUUAUCUAAAAGUUCAUGCAAAUGGAGGUGGAUUUCUUUGAUCUGGGGCUCUCAUGAAAACAGUCUUGUAAUUUCGACUGCUCCCUGGCUUGUGUCAGAUAUGCUGUGAGUGGGGUCUGCCCUGGGAUUUGGCACAGCCCAGGUUUUAACUGGGCUGGAAGGGAAGUGGAGCAAGAUUCAGACAUCGGAAUAGGACUUGCGGAAGAGAAAAUUUUUAUUGGCAUCUUUUAUAUCAUCCUAAUUCAAAAGUUUCAGUUCUUGACGAUCGUGCUGGGCACAGAUUCAAGAUUUCAUUUGCAGUUGGCUGAGCUCGGAUGCUGGAGGAAGCUUCUGCGAUGGGAGGAAGAUCCUUUUCCUGCAAGAACAGAAUUUCUCAUUUGACAGUAGGAGUCGGAUUAGAGCCUCCUUUAAGAAUCCAGUGGGGAUUUGCUUGAAUUUUUCCAACUCUGCUUCUCUGGCCCAACGUGCUGAUUAGAGGAGAGCUUUUUGGUUGUCACUGAGAGUGAUCUGGCUGCUUGCUCUCUUGGAUUUUUUGAUAAUCAGAGCUGAGUAGCGUUUUUGCUACAACUGUGAUUAUUGAUUCAUAGAGGUUUUUCUGAGAGAAUGGAAGUUCAUCCUUCAUUACUUUUAAGUUGUUUCAUUGGCUAGAUAGUGAACAGACAUUACUUUCAAACACCAGGACAGCUGCUCUCUGGAAAAGGUUCAAUUAUUAUUGUUUGCACAUGCUCUGUAUGGACUUUGCUACCAUACAGUGUAUGUACAGUCCAAGUCUUUUCCAAUUUGCUGCACAGCAAGAUGUCUGCUGGCUUCUUUGGGAAAGAUACUGGAAAAAGGUAUUGGCACAGGCUGCCCAGGGAGGUGGUGGCAUCACCAUCCCUGGAGGUGUUCAAGACCCGUGGAGAUCUGGCACUGAGGGAUGUGAUCAGUGGCCAUGGUUGGGGUGGGCUAAUGGACUAGAUGAUUUUAGUGGGCUUUUGCAACCUUAAUGAUCCUGUGAGAUAGAGCCCAGGAGCAGGUCUGGAGCAGCUGCAGCGUGAUUCAAUGAGAGGCUGCUUUGUUAAGGAGUUAAUGAGGAGGAGUUUCGAUCCCUCUGUCCCACUCAGAGCAAGAGGAGAUGGGUGUCUCCUUGGCUGUAUGUUGGGUUGAGGACUUGACCUCCAGCGAGCAGCCUGGCAUGGUGGAGCUGCUCCGUGUGUUCACCGUGCUGCUCAGAGGGUGUGCAUCGCACGGAGCAUCGCUCCUGGGAAGCUGAGCUUGGACAGCGCAGAGCAGCUUCCAUCUGGCUCUCAUAUAGCCAUAAUGGUCAUUAAAUAACACUUUAAUGUUUUACAGCUUAAUGUUUUUGUUUUAAUAUUAAACAAAGAUUUUCUUUAAGGGAAUUUAGUUUAAUCAUCUGGUUGCAUGGCUGGCCUGAGGAGGAGCACUGAAAGCCUGCAAAAUUCCCCAAAUGCAGCAGAGAAUGAAAGCCCUUACAAUUUAAUAAACUAUCCAAGAUGAAGUAACUGGACUAAUAGGUUUGUGAUCUGUACCUGAGGGACAUGAAUGCGUGCACAUAUUAGAGGAAGGAAAACACCACUUCCAUCAGACACAGCUGCUACUUAAGGUUAAAUGCAUAAAUUAGUUUUUAUUUCACUUCAUCUUUCCUAGGUUGCUUGUGCCAACCUGCCUGUUGGAGGUACUUCACUUGCAAAUAUGUGCAUUUGCCAUUUUUUCUCACUCUUCAAGAAUAUGCAAGUCUUGAAAAUCCCAAUUAUCAUUUAACCUUCUAGAAAGUCACUUGAGUUGGUAGAUGCACCAUAUAGCUGCCCAUCAAAUCCACUCCAUUGCUUCAAGCUAAUACCUGGUGUUUUAGUGCCCAUCCAACCAAAUGUGUACAUCACCAUUAGGUAAUAAAAGAAAGAAAUUCUUAUCUGAACACGGGGUUAUAACCACAUGUUUAAAAGAUGAGUUGCUGUAAGCGGUUAUAACAUGUAAGCUAUAAGCUGUCAUGGGUUCUGAUAUCUCUCUUCCCAGAGAAGUCGGUGAGGUCUUGGUCCUAAAGCUCACUUUCAAUGUUUUUGGCUCUUAAGAGCUUUCUAGGAGUUUUCAAGCCUCUUGAGAGCCACACACCAGCCUACAGAAAAACAGACAUUCGUAAAAUAAUAUUAACUUCUAUAAUUUCUUGUCAUUUAUAAACUUCAUUCAAAUGACUCUUGACCAUUUUGAUUUCAGAAGCAUUCAUUGGAGUGCUGAGUUUUCAUUUCUCUUUAAUGGACAGAUAUUGCAAAUGAACAAUGUGCUUUUCUGCUUAUUGCUGGACAAGGCUUAUGGGUAGAGAUGAUAUCUUAGACAAACUGGGAUGGCUGGAGAGCUUAGGUAAACUUGGAGGCAUUGAGUCCUUCUUCAAGCCUGAAACAGAAGCUGAAUGAGCAGCUGCUCAGGGUUCAGUUAGAUACUUGUCAGAGCUUUGGAGAGGAUAAAAGAGUAGCUGUUGUGGAACCUGGGAAUAUGGCUUUUACAUUUGCAGCCUUUUUUUCUCUGGCACAGAGCAAUCUUCCAGGUGGAAGCUGAAACCCUGUCCCUGGGGUAGCGAGGCCAUGCAGAAGGUCACAAAUGGCUGACAGUGCUGAGCUGGUUCCAGGCUCUGUGCAUCGCCUGGGAUGGAUCUCGUUGCUUCCCUGGCUACUGGGGACCGAGCAGAGGACACAGAAAUGCUGGUGCCAGGGGGAGCAGAGAAGGAUGCAACAGCAUCGCAAGCCUUAGAAGAAGUGACAGCAACGAGGGAGAUGGAAAGUUUGAAAGUGACCAACUCUGAUGGAGCAGUGGUGGAAGCAUCAGAAAACCCGGAAGGAGUUGCCGAAAUUGUCCGAGCAGCAGAACAAGUAGCAAAAUCCGAAGUGGUCAAGGUGCUGCAGUCAGCAUUAGCUGAGCUCAAAGAGAAGGGGAGCGCAUGGUUAAAGCCAAGGAACACCACCCAACAGGAGGAGGAGGAUUGGGUGAAGAAAGGAGAGGUGAUGUGAAAUGAAGCAGAGCAGGUGCAGUUGCUAGCAGCCUAUCCAGCGUGCUCCAGCCCUGAAAUGUUUCUUGUCUGGGUAGGACUGCCAAGCAGUGAAGGCACCGUGGCUCCUGUUGCAGAGCAUGCCAACACUUGGAACAUGCUCCUGCCAAUAUCCCACAUAAAUCACGCCUUAUCCAGCCCUCCACAGUCCUUCUGGAGAUUCCUACUUCACUGCAAGUGAUAUGUGAUGGAUCUGUGCUUCCUUGGAGCAUCACAUAGCAGGCAGAUCUCAACAUGUGUAUUUUGGGCUGGCUUGCAACCUCUACUGCAUCCUUUCUGUGCACGGUAAUGAGGUGUUCUUUUUCUGCCGUGAGACCUGCAUGCAUCACGCUGGCUUGUGGGAUUGUCCUCAUUGCAGGAAGAGAGGAUAUCAGAUGCUACUGUUCCUAUAGGGCACUGAGCUCAACUCCCUGCAGAGAAGCAUAUGCUACAGCUCAAGGCUGGAUGCUCCGGUGUUUAGUAUCAACUCUCAGGACUUGCUCUGCACCGUGCCUCCCAACCUCCGUUUUGCAUCAGGACCCCAUGGAGCAUGCUCCUAAGAUCAGCCUUGCACGUACAAACAGCGAACCCAUGGAGAGGAGGGAGUGACCCCAUGAAGGACUGGAGACGCCAGAGCUGCAGGGGAGAGGCUGCCUGGGAAGUCAAAUGAGGGCAGAAGGCAUCAGCCUUUCCAGGAAAGAACCUGUCCUUGCACAUUUCCUCACGUCUGGGCUUUGAUAUCGUGAUUGCGAGCACAUGAGAAAAAGAAAACACCCCCCAUUUUGCUGAGCCCCAGCAGGGUGAACAGAGGGAAAAGGUGCUCCAGGGCAGGAGAAAACUGUGAAGAAAUAGGUUUGGACAGGAGUUGAAGGAUUGUAUGCCCAAUUGAGCCUACAACUGAAAGCAAUGAGCUGGAUGGACCCUCUUGGUAUGGGAUGGGCUUGGAGGGGGUGAGCACUACCUACCUGAGUACCACACUGCUUCCUCUAGGACACUGGGAGAUUUGCUGGAGCUCGCCCAUCUGACCCAAUCCUCCACAUGAGAUCUGGCAAGAUAAUCACUCCAAGCGUCUGGAGGAAAACAUCCAGUGAUGCAGCCUCCGGAUUAAACAGCCACCAGCCCAAUGGAGAAGGCCUCAUCUGUGAGUGAACUGCAAGUUCAUUUGCCUUUCUUGGAGAUGAAAACCUCUCAGCAGCUCAUGAGCUCCCACAAGGAAGUCUGAAUCCCUGAAUACUGAAGUGGGUAGUCCCUGUGCUGGCUGAUGUUCCAGUGGAAAGUAGAAGGGGGAUUCAGCAGAGGAGAAAUUCUAGAGGGGAGAAUAGAUGCAAGAAAUUCCUAGGAAUGUCACAGAAACCAGCAUCCCCCCCUCCGCUCCUUCCAAACCAACCCACCUAAAAAAUGCCAUUUUGUGGGCUAUUUUGGAAAGGAGUCCAUGCCUGGGGAAUUUUUGGCUGAUGCUUAUGGCUUUUAGAAGUUUCUGGGAGAUCAGACGAAUAGAAACAGGAACCAGAUGGGACUUCUAGCUGCUGGAAAGAAAGGGAAAAAAAAAAAAGAAGAAAAAAUAAUCCAUCCCUUGUUUAAAAUCUGAAGAGCACUUGUUCACUUUUGGGGAGUUUCCCCUUCACCCUGGUUUUCUUAUUUUAUAGUAAUUUAGCCCAGUUCCAUUAUAUUCUCAUAGAGCAUUUCUCUCUUUUGUUGUUGUUGCUAGGAAUUUUUCUUUCUUUUGCAAUAAAAACUAGUUUAUUCUUAGGAGAAUUUAAGCCUUUGCCUUCCUAGAUAAAAGGAAAGCCAGCUGUUGGUUUUGUUCUCACAGCAACCUCAACAUCCCUUGGCCAUUUACUCACUGAGUUUAUCUCUGUGUGGCUGCAAAAUACAGAAUAAGAUGGUGGUAGUGAAGAGUAGAACAAAGUCAGAGAUGGCUCUGAGCUAGCAAAACUGAGUGUGCAUAAUUUCUAUUUUAUGUAAAUGACCAUAAAAGGGAAAGUUACGCUAUACUGAAAUGUGAGGUGCAUUCAAACAUGGACUGCAGAUGCCUGGUGCCCUCAAUGACCCAAAUCGUCGAGCACAGUGUUGGAUUUGUGGAGUCCUGAUUGUUGGGUUUGGGGGGUUAUGGAUCAAAAAAAAAACAGCCUGGUCCAGUCCCAGGCUCCAUUUUAUCAGACCUUUGGCUCUGGAGCUGGUUCAUUUCUGGAAUAUAUCCCAGAGGCUGAAUAAGGGCCAAGGAGCAUUUUCCAGCUCCUGUGUCCAAGCUGGACUUCAUGCUGGGAGUCGCAGUCCAGCUGAGAUCUGACACUGUGCUGGAACUGGGCUGUUGUGCAUCAUCCCCGUAGCCUUUUCUUUCCGUACUGAUGGGCCAGAGGGAACCAUGGCCAUACAUCACAUUGUGCCCCUACUCUACUCAGGAGAGCCAUGAGAUCUUAUUCCCUGGCUGGUGGGAAGAUUGGAAAACAGAUAGCAUUGGUGAAGGUGGCAACUGGCUAUUACUGUACUUAGAAACUUUGCCAAUGAUAUUCUUUUAAGUGUUCUGCUUUUAAGGAAUUCUUUUACUGGUUAACAUGUCUUCCAGUUUUCCAGAUAUUUACUGCUUCCUGGAAAAAAAUGCACUCUUCCCAGGAUCCUAUCUUGCUUUACGGUCUUCCUCUCUUAACAUCAUUUUGUAUUAUUUCUCGUGCUCUCUAAUCUGCAGCCAUUCCCAAGACAGGGUCAUCAACACAAUGCAAUGACCCUUGAUAAACUUUCACCCGUGGUUUGUGUGUCAGUAUGAGAGGAAAUCCGUCCUUGGGACUUAAUAAAUGUGUAUUUCUAGGGAUUGGAUGCUUCACGAACAACAUUAAGAUUAUACUGUGUGUUAUGAUACUUACUAAUGGUGAUGCACAAAGUCAGCAGUAGAUAUUUUAAGACACGAUAGUUGAUGCAAAUAUGCAUGCAUUUGAACACAUGGCUUUGGUUCCAAGGUUCGUCACAGACAGACCUAACUAAGCCAGCUGCUUGAACCCUGUGUUAUGGUGACCAAUUGAUUAGAUUAGUUUAAAUGAAAAAAAUGCCCCCAAAUGUAAGGCUUUGGAUUUGUACAUCCAAUUUGAGUUCCAACUUUGUGGCUUGCUUUUUUCUUUUGGCUCUAGCUGGUCAGGCAGGAUGUCCCAUAUUAGAAUGCUGCUCAGUUGUUGUUGUUCUUUGUGGUUCCAGUGAGCUUUUUUUUCAGAAAUGUCUGGAAGGAAAGAGACAGAGGGGACUUGGUUCACAGGUUUUGUACAAAAGCUUUUAUUUUCCCUUUUUUUCUCCCUCCUUUUUACUUCUCAUGGAUCUGAUGUGCAAGUGCUCUCAGGAGUGACACGCUCAGAUUUUAAAGCAAAGCGCUUAUCACAUGACUCAGGUGACUGCUGUUGCGGUUGAAGCAGUAUCAUCCUAGGAAUUUUGUUUGAAUUUAGCUGCCAGCUCAAACAAAAGUCAUCUGAGUAGGCAAGCUUUUACUGGUUUCUCUUUGGCUUCCCAUGUCAGUUUAAUUUGGCCCAUGUUUGCUCAAAAUGUCUCCAGCUGUCUAGAAACUUGUUCCUAGCGUUCUGGAACACUCACAGUCCUUUUGGCCAGUGUGACCUUAGUUGUAAAGGCUGGAUGUUGUUUAUUUCAGAUCAUUUUUACUAGCUCUGUUAUAUAUAAGGCAGCUCAGAUAAUUGUAAGAGACAAAUGUGAUGGUUGCUGUCCUUCUGUUCACAGGUUACAAGUUACUGAUGUCCACAAUGCUCAGGCAUGAGAUCUGCCAGAGAACACCACCUCGUUUUGUUCCAUGGGAGUUUUUGCUAAUAUUUUCUUUUAUAUUAUCACUCUCAUUGUUUCUCUGUUGGAAACUUUCCAUGCACUUCACAUCGAGGACCUAAGUGUCAGAAGAUUAAAGGAAUGUCUUUUUGCCCAACUAACAUGAAUUGGAUGCUGAACUAGGCACAACUAUGCACUACUCAGAAAAUGAAAUGCCUUCUAAAGAAGUUCCGUAGGCUGGCAUUGCACAACAAGGGCAUCCCCAGAGCAGCUUGGGACCUCCGUGGGGUGCAUCCCCCAAAGAAAAUAGAGAAUGAAGAUGAAAAUGAGUCCGGCUUUGCCCUGGUUGGGCUCUAGACAGAAACAUUGGAAGAAGAUACCCAGCACUCUCAGCAUCCAGCAGGAGCAGCAGGAAGCAUCAGAUAUUGCCGGGGAAUUCUUCAGUUCCAGAAGUUUUGGAGAAGUGUCUCAUCCAAAUUCUGGAGUGGAGGGGAAGCUUCCUCCAACACCUCCAACAACGUAAAGACCCAGAGGUGCUGGUGAUGUUGGGUCACCCCUUCUCCAUGUCUCCCAUCCAUCCCAGCUGCUGGUGGAUAGGAGCAGACGGGGCGCAAUGAAGCCACCAACACCCUCCUCUGCUGCAGGGAACCUGCUGGGGUGAGUGACAUGUCUGGGGCUAUCCUUGUCCCAGGCAAUAGAACCAUCCCAUCUGGAGAACAACCCCAGGGGCAUGAUCCUGCACCCACAGAGAACCCAAGGACAAAGAGGUUUAGGCUAUCCUGCUGGAUCUCUUAGCACCACCCCAGAUACAUGAGCUCCGAGGUCUGGCACUGGCAGUACGGCACGCGGGGACCGGCGCCGGCGCGCACCUGGGCGCAGGGAGAGGAAACAGAGAAAAAAGACAACACCCUCAGUGAGAACAGAGGUGCCCAGGCUCUGCCCUGACCCAUGGCUGUUUAGCAGGAGGAAGCAAAGUGAUGUGACCGCUGCGGUUUCGGUUCUCACUCCACCUUGCUGCCCAGGAGCCAGGACAGCAGCUUAUGAGAGGAAAAGUCCUCGGAGCCAACCUGCACUUGGGGGAGAUCCCGUAGCCCCACAGAGGGGCUGGAAAUGCCAGGGGGGCUGGGAAAGCAGGACACCCCCGCAAACCCCACUCCAGUGUAUUGAUAUUCAGUGCAGAGUGAGGGGUGUAAAUUCAGUGCUAUCUCCUGGCCGCUCGCCGUUUAUGCCGUUCAUUUCACAUAGAUGUCACUACUGCCUUAUAAGCACUCCUCCGAGCCAGCCGCUUAAAUGGACCCAGUGCAUUAUAGUAAUGGAGUAACUGUAUAAAAACAAUGAAAUCCAAUCUCUUUAAACUGAUUUGAUGUCUGCCUGAACCACAACAUUUCCUGCUAAUGGCUUCCUUCAUUUUGUAACCGUGAUCUCCACCUGAUCAGAUUACAGCUGUUUUUAAUUACAAAGCUAAUAGAGUUUGUAGGCAGUGUCGGGAGGACGGCGCAUGCCCCGGGCAGAGGGGAGCUGGUGGGGGCUUGGGGUGGCUGUGCUGACAGCCCACAGAGCAGAGUGUCACAACACCGGGAUGGGGACAGCUGGGAGGGAAGGGGACAGAAUAGGGAUGUUGGUGCCAUCUGACUGCUGCAGCUGAUGGGGCAGGAAAAAGCACUGAGGAUGACUGACAGUGGAAGAAGUCCUCAAGAUUGAUGUCUUUCUUAUGGGAUAGCGCAGUCAGCUACGGGGUUGGAUUCCUCCACCUCAACCUGGAUGGCGGAGCCCUGGGGAGCAUCUGCGCAGCUCAUCCUGGUCCCCAGAGGCCUCGUUUUGUCUGGCAGUUCGUUUGUGUGCUGAUUGCUCCAUUGCUGUGGGUUAGGAGCACAGAGCAGAGUAGUUGUCAGGAGAGAAGCAGGUUGAAAUCUGUUACCAAAUGGUGAUGGCCAGGGAUGUCUGAUGCCUAGAAAACACUGGUGUGUUAGAGAUAGUUCUGAGUAGCCCAUGCUGGUAUUUAGGAUUCAGCUGAUGUUGGGCUCAGCUGAAAAACGUCAGCAGGGAAAGAGAGCAGCAUCUCCAGCUCGUAGCCAAGUCCUGCUGUGAGAACCUCCCGUUUGGGGUGCUGGAGUUGCUCACGUGCCUGCUAAGGCACAGUGAUGAGCAAUCCACUCCCAGCAGCUGGGGCAGGAGGAACCCCAGAGCCCCAUGGCGAAGUGCAUGCUGCUGAGACCCACUUUGGAGCUGCUCCCACUGCCUGCUUCAUCACACUGCUGGGGAUGCUCGUCCUCCACUGCCUUGGUGCCGGAGCUGCUCGUGCCAGUGACAUCAACAGGAGCUGCCAAAACACCAAACACCAAGAGCCAGUCCUGCCCAGGCGAGCAGAACGUGGGGAUGCCCCAUCUCCCCCCCAUAACUCGGCACAGGCACUCUGAGGUUAGCAGGAGUGUUCUCAGAGCAAACCCCAUCCUACUCGAGCCGUUGCUGGUGGGAUCCACCUGUGUGCACUGUGCUGUGGAGCAGGAUCAGCGCUGCCAUCCAGGCUCUGCCUGUGCCCAAUGCACAAAACCAUGUGUUUGAGGAAGUGCUUCUGGAGUUUGAAAAGGUGAAUUGAAGAAGAGGGGAGAAGGAAAAAAAAAAAGUAGGGAACGAUUAAACGGCAUAAAUAAAUAAAUAACACGCACCAGAUUUCAGCUCCCAGGCGCUCAAUAAAAUUACACUUUGAAAUGCAAGGAUUAAGCAGGCAUUGCUGGGGUUUGAGCUGGCUGCGGGUGGAAGGACUGAGCCUGGAAGGAAACCCCAUGUAAAAUCCCCAGCCUGUUUGCAGAUGUUGGGCUGCUUCUGGCUGAGAUUUCAGCUUUCGCAGCAGGGGGAGCUGGAAGAAGUGGAGAGAGCCCUGAUAUCUCUCAUGAGCUGCCUUCGAAGAGGGACUGGACCAGCCUGAAGGCCACCAGAGCCAAAGCCCAGCAGCACAGCUUGGGACUCAGGCAUCCCACAGACGGGUAGCAGCUCAGUGGAACCCUCACUUGGCUCAGGUUUACCCAAUUUUCUAGUGAGACCUGCUCUGUGAGCGCUCAUUCCUGGAUAUCCUGGGGCACUGGUGAUGUUAAGCCAGUGGCACCUCUCACUGCUCUGCUUUGGUAAAAAGCAGCCAAAUGCAUGGCUGCCAUGGACCACAUCUGCUUGCUUAUCUCAGUGGCCAGGGCAACAUGGCCACAGCCAACACUAGCCAAAAGUGGCUCUCGGAUGCUCCCAGUGCUGAGCGAUAUUUCCACUCACCUGCCCAACCUGCAAACAAACAACACGGGCACCUUAGCAAAAAAGCACAUCUGCUGUCAAAAACCCAGUUCAAAACGAAAACCGAGGUGAACAUCCAGGUAUUCCAGACCACGGUGGCACUGAGGGUAAAUCACAGCAAGCCAACCAGCCACAUUAUCGGAUUACUUUUCCCCUAAGAUUUGCUUCUUUUAUCUUACUUAGCGAGGCAAAGCACCUCAGAUGGAAAACUUGAUCGGAGUAUUGGUUUUGACUUCCUUUUUCACAGUUGAUGCACACAAUGUAUGCACAUAUGUGGCUGCACAUUUGAUAAAUUCAGCAGCAGCUUUACAGAGUUGGCUCUAUUAGAACAGCUGAUGACAUGAGCUAAAAUGACCGGGAAUUAACAUCCAGAAGUGGAUGUAAAAUUAUCAGACUUCAAGAAACUCAAGAGAAAUCCUGUCCCAUAAAACAGUGGUGCAUUGUUCCAAAAAGGCAUCUCUUUUCUCAUCGCCCUUCAUUCUUCACCCCACCCCCUUCUUUCUCUCAUUUGAAACUCAAAUUUACCUCUGUUCAAUUCCCGCUCUGUUGCCCACAGCAUCUUUUAUUUUCAUAGUAGCUUGGCAAUGCAGAUUUUGAGACUAAGACCUUGAAAGACACAUACCUUGUUAUAACACUGUAUCUGGGGUUUGGCUUGCAUGGAUGCUACACUGAGCUGGCUCACGAUGCUGAGCAGCAAAUAAUAAUAAUAAUAAUAAAGUCAUUUAUAAAGUCAUUUUUGGUCGGGUUAGGUUUAUGCCAGCCCAACACAUGGAGGCAAUUCUCUGCAGGGUCAAAUGAGAAAUAAGGAGGAAAGCAGGGAUAACGGAGGACAGUUUGUUGAUGUUGGUGUAUGUAUCUUAUUUGUGUUUUUGUGCUGAUCCUUCCUCGAGGCAUUGACCUGACUAUGCUGGUUAACAACAGCUCUUCAUUUAGUCCUAUCCUAGCAAAGACCUAUAUGGCUUCUGUAUUUUAAAGCCAAUUUAAUUCAGAUCUUCUCUAAGCAGGACUAUUUUGAUGGAGCCGGAGAAGUGAUGACAUAAAUAGCUGACGGCACAAAUAGUUCUACUGGCAGAGCAGCAGAGGUGGCAACAUCUGGAUGGAAGCCAUGAGCAGCAGCUGUGGACAGGCACCUCUUCAUGGAGCUGGAACAGGAUGCACAGCCUGGGGCUCCAGGUCACCAUCUCACCAGCGUCACCAGGAAAGCUGUGACCUGGAUGAACCACUCAGUCUCCUUCCAGAGCAUUUGCAGAUAGUUCUGCCUUCUGCCAACCUGCCCUGAAAAGCUGCGGGUUCAUCUGCUCAGCCUGACUCAAGCGAGAACCAUGAAUAGCUGGGCACCCCUAAACUCCUGCAGCAUUAGGUCAGGCCCCACACUCCCGAGGUUCCAGGAGGUGAAAAUCAUUCGUUCUGAUCUCCAGGUUGGUGGGCUAAGCCAAAUUUUGACCACUGAGCCAUAAGCUGUUGCUGGUUUGAAGAUCUUGGCUGGUCCUUGUAGAGCCAUGUAACAGUGGUAAAAGCAGGACUGUAGCAUGAGAAAUUGAACCAGCCUAUGCCACGCUGACUGCUGAACGCUGCUGCCAUUCAGGAUAAUAUUGGGAAAAGAGGUAACUGAUCAGUCGUGUCCUGAAUGAUGGUCUACUUCUCAGUGAGACUUUGUGCCACAUGGCAUUUGGGGCCGAGUGUCUUGGCAUCUCUUCAGCCAAAGGAAUUGCUCUGCACUUCGCCUUCAAGCCUGUGCUUGUGCCACAGCUUUGGCAGUUUUCUGCUCAACACUCUGAUAUCUAGAAUGGCAGUGAAACGCAUGGAGCCCAAAAGGGAAAAGCAUCCCAUCAUCUGUGUGAAUGACUUGGGAAUGUAAGGUGAAGAAGGUGGAGGGCAGAGCUCCCACCCGGAAAGGAUUUUCAAGAUUUGAAAAAUUAAAACAGCCCCCAGUGUUCCCCUUAUCUAUCAAUUAAAAUCAAACUAGUUUCUUUUUAUCGAGAUUGAGAGAUGCCACCCAGGCUGACUGUGGUAUUAAUGAGGUUAUCUGUGGUGUAGGAAAUCCAGAUUCAGAUGCCUCACGUGCCAUCACCAGUACACAUCUGGGCUGCUGGCUGCUCUGCUUGUGCUCCUAGAUCUCAUGUUGUCACUGUUAGUUCUAAGUUUGGGUUGAACCUCAAGCAGGUCAGACCUUGUUGGUCUGUGAUGAGACACAGCGUUUGCCCGUGACAGCACAGCUUUUAUAUUGCACAGGCUCCAAAAGAUCUUGUUCUAAUGAUGGGAUAAAGCAACUGCUGCUUCCCUGAAGCACUCCAUGCACCGAAGACAAAGGGAUGCGAGUGAGGGCUGUUCCCAGGGUGGGUGCUGGGAGCACAGUGUGAGAGUGUGCAGUGCUGUGCAGAAACACAGCUUAAGGUCAGACUCAGCUCUAAAGCUUCCCCAGAAUCCCAAAUCCUCUUUUUAUAUGAGUUCAACCAAACACAAACAAUUAAAGAAUUUCAUCUUCUCCUACUAUGGUGGAAAAGCCUGAAUGCUUCUCUAAACUUUAUUAAAUAGCUCCAGCAUGUUCCCUAGGUGAGGGUCCUGCUUGGCUUCUGAGAGACUAUAUCUUUGUGUUUGGUGUGAAUAAAUCGGUCACAGAUGCCAGUUGGCAGUGAGGAAGAGAAAUAACACAGCCCGUUGCAAAGAAGAGAGGAAAAAAAGCAGCUAUAAGCCUCGUGUCUGCCAUUUGACAAGGACCUCAGUCAAUGGCAGCUGUUCAGAGACCUCCACAAGGGCUAUUGCACAUCCCUGCUAUCUGCCUGCACUUAUGUUCCUCUCUUAGGGAUUACCCCUGUGCCAGGUUUCGAGCCUAAGCCAGUGCCAGCCUGGAACGCAGGGAGAAGCAUUUUGUAGCUUUAGUUUUGGAAUGUACCCCAUUGGUAGCAACAGGCCGGUGGGACAGGCAGGAACCUUCCCCUGGGCCAGGUCUCUCUGGCGGGCAGCAGCUCUCUCAUCACCAGGGGUUUGUCAAAGCGUGCGGUAUGCUAACAUCCUGCCAGCUCACCUUUCGUAAGCUGAGUCAAAAGCAUUAUUCCCACCCGUGCAAACACGGCGUCUGCCACAUGUCUGCUGGUUUCUCCCCGGUGCACUGAGGCAAAGCAGCCCUUCCUUGUCAGUCACUGACCAAAAGCUGUUGAUUCUGGAACGACUGACUGCACUGGUUGUAGGGGAUGCCAAAACCCCCUGAAAGCUGGGAGGCAAAGGUGUUUUCUUUUUAAAUGAAUUAAGCUGUAGAAGGAAUUUCCCUGAGAGCUUGUUUGAUAUCUGGAAUAGAAAUGGCUUUCCGUCUCCAUCUCCGCCUACUCAACACUCAAAGCCACAUCCAGAGAGCCUGCAGACACAUCUGCCCUCUCCUCUGUGUCGGAACUCCUCUGCAUUUUGCCGACAGCUGACAAACAUUCCAGUCUGGUGCCUCCCAGCUAGAAUACCUUUGCUGAGCUCCUGGGUGGAAAAAAGGAGGAUUUACCUGAGCCCAGCCCAUCUGCGUGCGGGUCGGAACGUGUGUGUAUCCCAUUAACUCUGUCCUCGCUGCUCUCAAGAUGUCCCACACAAAUGAUUUUAUUUUUUUUGUAAGAAAAUAUAUUUUACUAGGCAGUUUUAUGAGAGCUGACAAAAUGCCUCAUAAAUAACCCAGCAGGAAAUAUGGGGUAAAUAAAAUUUUUACAACUUUAUCAUAAA